GCUCCUCUCUUUCAUAAGAUCUAUCAUUGUAGAACGAGCUAGCUAUACAUUGUUUCCCAAAUUAAGAAAUGAAAACUGCUUUUUAUUUUGCCGGCAUCUUCUUGCUUGUUCUCCACACUGUUUUUGGAAAUCAAGUGCAAAUGGCAGUAGUACCUGAAAGAUGUCUGGGUAAAAAUUUGUAUGGUUUUUGUAAAUUUAACGAAGAUCCUUGUAACUUUCGUUGUAAGCAAAGUUUUGGAUCAGACUAUCAUGGAAUUUGUAGCAUUCGAUUCCAUUUUUGUAUUUGUCGUAAUUGUUAAGACAAUAUAGUAUUGAAAAGUAAAUAUAAAUAAAAUGACUGCUUUGUCAGACA